CGGACCCUACGGGAGGCAGCAGUAGGGAAACUUCCACAAUGAACGAAAGCCUGGUGGAGCAACGCCGCGUGGGUGAAGAAGGUCUUCGGAUCGUAAAACCCUGUUGUUAGAGAAGAAAGUGCGUGAGAGUAACUGUUCACGUUUCGACGGUAUCUAACCAGAAAGCCACGGCUAACUACGUGCCAGCAGCCGCGGUAAUACGUAGGUGGCAAGCGUUAUCCGGAUUUAUUGGGCGUAAAGGGAACGCAGGCGGUCUUUUAAGUCCGAUGUGAAAGCCUUCGGCUUAACCGGAGUAGGGCAUUGGG
rnacentral:rRNA from 1 species